AUGCUUGCUUCAGCAGCACAUAUACUAAAAUUGGAACUAUACAGAGAAGAUUAGCAUGGCCGCUGCACAAGGAUGACACACAAAUUUGUGAAACAUUCCAUAUUUUU
rnacentral:snRNA from 1 species